GGCCGGUUAGCUCAGUCGGUUAGAGCUAGGUGCUGAUAACACCAAGGCCAUGGGUUUGAUCCCCGUUCGGUUC
rnacentral:tRNA from 1 species